rnacentral:lncRNA from 1 species
AGAGCGAAAAAAUGAGAAGCGUGUUUGUAAAAUAUUCCUAUCAAUAAAAUAUUAUGUUUGAUACAAGGAGCAACUAAGUCUUUUAGUUGAAUUAAAGAAGAUAAGCAAGAACGUAAGGAGAGUACUAUAAGUUUAUUAAAAGCAUCUCUGGAGCUCUGAAGGACGGUUGAUCAAGGGCAUUGAAGCUAGGUUUUGCAGCCCGUUUUAUCCUGUCUUGAGUUGAGAUCAUAAAACUUAGGUAUGUUUCGUUACCAGUAUUGAUUAUGUUCUUUAACUCAAUCUAUCUUUUCCAAAAUUGAAAUAAGAAUGUUAGAAUUAAAACACAUAUACAAUGAUAGUCAGUAUCACAUAAUUGGAAUAGUAAAUAAUAAGUUAUGUAUCAUACUUAUAGAUACAGGAGCAUGUAUGAGUCAUAUCACUUCAGAUUUAGUAUGUAAAGUAUAUGAAGCAGAAAGGGAAUUCAGAUAUAAAGACUUUUUAGGUCUAGAACAUGUUCAGAAUAAAGUAUCAGAAGUAGAGAUAAUACUUAGUCAAGAUCUACAUUUUAAAGUAGAGCUUUUGGUAGAUUAUCAAGAGAAAGCAAGAGAAGUAUUACUAGGAAUAAACUUCUUAGAACGUUUUGAGUAUACAAUUAAAAAUGAAGAAUUAAUUUUAAAUAUAAAAGGAAAGCAAUUUAGAAUUCCACGAAUAAGACUAAAUCCAUAUCAAAUCAGAGAGAAUCUAAUCUAAUGGAUUUAGAUAAUAAUAUCAUUCAGUUAGAAGAUAAUAAAGGAAAGUAUAUUCAAGAUAUCUUGUUAGAUAAAAAGAUAGUUAAUCAAGUUAAAAAUAAAGGAAGUUUAGAUAUAGUCGAGACAGAAGGAACUAAAAGCUCAAUAUUACAAAAACUAUCUAGAAAAAACAUAAUUUACUAUGGAAUAAUGCAAGGAGAACAGCCUGUUAAUAUAGAACAAGCUACGACCAAGUUUCAAGCACCAUUAGUAGACAUUAAUCAAAUAGGAAAAAGAUUAAUGGCUAUAAAAAGUGAAGAACGAUCAAAAAUAGGAUAUAUUCAUAUAAACACUAUCCAGAUAAUAAUCAGAUCAACUUUUAGAGAAGGUAUUAAAAUACCUGUUACACUAACAGUUGAAGAUAAUAGGAUUAUGAACAAUCAGUGUAAAAAAUUAGGAGAAAUAGAAGGAGAUUUAGGAUACACAACAAUAAAAUUUUGUGCUACAUUACAGUUUCCUAUACCAUUAAGUACAAGGAAAAUAAAUAAUUGUUUAGGUAUAAUAUGUAAUUUUAAGGAAAAAAGUUUAAUGGAAAAAGGUGAUAUCCCUUUGGUAAUCUGUUACAGAAUAGCAUAUGCACUUAGUAAUUCUUGUUUAAGUUUAACUUACAAGAAUCAAGAACAAAUAUACACAGAUAAAUUAUUUAGUGAAACAAGUACACUAAUAAAAAGUGAUAAAAUAUCUAGAGAGUUUCUUAGAAUUCAUAGUUCUAGAAAUUUACUAUUUAGAAUAGAACAGAAUAAUUUACUACUAUGUUCUAGUCAAAAAAAUAAUAUAAAACAACCGACAAGUAAAAAGACUUUAUUUGAAGAAGAUAAUGAAAUAGAAAAAAUGAAUAGGCAAAUAACAGAGUUAAAUAAUAUUAUAGAAAGUUUAAAUAAAAAAAUAUAAUAUGGAAAGAUUAAUAAUAAAAAAUGAUUAAAUAAUAUUGUAGAAAGUUUAAAUAAAAAAAUAUAAGAUGGAAAGAUUAUUAAUACAGAAUAUAGAUUUAAAGCAGCAAGUAAAAGAAUUAGAAAAAGAAAAUAGAGAAUUAGAAAAAAAGAAAAAAGAGCAGUAUGAAAUAUGCUUAGCUAAAGAUACUGUAAUUAAAAAGCAAGAAGAAUUUAUAAUUGAUUUAUUAAAAAGGAUAGAUCAAUUACAAAGAGAAUUAAACAGAUAAGCAGAUCUAGAAAAUGAGUCACCAAGUACAGUAUUAUAUUAAUCCAUAAUAAGCUAACUAGAGCUUCAAAUCUAGCCCUUUUAAAAGUUGGUAUCAGAGCUAAUAGAUUCUAAGAAGAUAAUUAAAAAUGUCAAAGGAUAAUAAUUUAGAAAAUUCAUUUAGAAAAGAUAUACAGUAUAAUCAAGUAUAUACGUUAGGACCCAAUGAUAUGACUUUUUUACCAAUAAAACAGAAGUUUUAUCAGUUAGAUGAAAACAUAAAAGAAACAGAAUUUUGUAUCUCUGCAGGAAAUGAAAUAGUUGAACAAAAUAUAAGCAGAAACUUACAAACAGUUAUUAGAAUACAAAAUAAUCAAACAAAAAUAUUAGUGUACAUCUGUAAAAUAUUAUUUGAAGGUAUCAUAGAACCAACUAAGAAUCAAUUAGAAGAAUUUACCAAACUUGAAAAACAAAUAGUUGAAAUUAAUAACAAGAUAGUUCAAAUACUAGGAAAAAUAUAAUGAAUGAUCCACCAAGAGUCUCAGAACAAAUAAAUACGCUAAUAGAAUUAGUUAAACAACAUAUAGAAAUGCAAAACGAAGUUAUAAACAGACUAAAAGAAAUUAAAAAAUCUAAAGAAAAUAAGUAUAAAUACCAAGAACUUAUAGAUUACCUUAAAGAAAAAGGUAAAAGAGAAGAAACAUCUAGUAGUACACAAGUGCAUAGAUAAAGAACAAGCUUUGAAAGGGUAAAAGAAAAGAAAUAUCUAGUAAUACACAACAAGUGUGCAUAGAUAAAGAACAACUUUUAGACUUGCUUCAAGAAGUUGUUAAAAUUGAAAGUAAAAAGAAGUGUUUAACAUAAAAAGAAUUUAAAAGGUAUUUCAGAAAAGAACCAAAACCUAAGAUAACAAUAGUAGAACCUACAGGAUUACCAUCCCGAGAGAAAACAUCAUGGAUGAAAUUCAAAGAUUAACUGAUCUCUUGGACAUAUGUAAUUUAGAUGACAAUUAUAUAUCAAAAAUAGAUGAAGAAGACAAAGAAGGAAUUAUUUAUGGCAUAUAUAGUGAUGAAGAUGAGCCUUUCGAUCACGCGGGGGAGGAAGAAGAUACAAAACUACCACAACUACCACAAAAUAGCCCAAAAAGGCCUCGAUCGCCAAUCCACAUAGGAGAACCAAGUAAUAAUAAUAAUAGUAAUGAAACUAAUUUUAUAAGAAGUUUUAGAGAUUAUUCUUAUAGAAAUGAUUACAUUAUUAAUCAAGGAAAAUUACAUAAAGGAAUUCCACCAAAAUAUAUAGAAAAAGAAAGAAGUAUAACAAAUGGUAUUUUAAAUAUCAAUUGUACAGCAAAUAUAGAACAGCUAAUUUUAGCAUGGAUUAACCAGUUAAAAUUACUAGUACAAACUAAAGAUGAAACAAUUAGUAAUUUAACAAUUGAAGAUUUUUCUAAUUAUAUCAAAUAUAAAACUACAGGUAUUAUUUUCGAAUGGUUAGAAACAACUGCUAUAGAAAUACCAUAUGCAAAAACAGAAAUAUCAACAGAAUCAAAACUGCUACCUUAGAUAUAACAGCUAAAGCAAUCUUUAAAGAAUUCUUAGGCAUUACUGAUAUAAAAAAUAUAAAAGAAAAAAGAGAUCAAAUAAUUAGAAUAUUAUCAAAUAUGAAAUUAUGUGAUCCCUGUUAUAUAGAAAAAUUUUUCUGUCAGGUAAGAGAAAACUUCUAUAAAACAGCGAAUCGUCAAGGAUUGUUAGAAAUAGUAGAAAGCAAAUUACCUUAUGAAAUAACAAAAUACAUUGAAGAAAAGAUAGGAAGUCAAGAAAAAACAUUGGGAUUACUAGAAAAGUUUAGAGAAUACAGAGAAGAACUUUGUAUUAAGAAAGUAGAACAAAGACAUAUUCAAAAGGUAAACAUAGGAUGUUGUAAACAACUAGAUACUACACCACAGCAGUUUGGAUGCACUUAUCCAAAACGAAGAAAUUAUAAAAAGAAAUUCUAUAGAAAUUGUAGACCCAGAAAAUAUAAAAAAUAUAAAAAACCUUGGAAGAAAAAAUGGCAAAAUAGAUAUAAGAAAAAAGUACCAAAACAAAAAGCUUGUCCUAAAGGAAAGAAGAAAAAACCUUGGAAGAAAAAAUGGUAAAAUAGAUAUAAGAAAAAAGUACCAAAACAAAAAGCUUGUCCUAAAGGAAAGAAAACAUGUAGAUGUUGGAAAUGUCAAGAAAUAGGCCAUUAUGCAAAUGAGUGUCCGUUGUUGGAUAAAGAAAAGGACAAAAAGCUGAAAAUGAUAUAUUCAUUAGGUUUCGAACCCAUCGAAGAAAUAUAUAGUGAAGACAAGGAAAUAGAUUUUGAUACAUAUAGUAUUGAAUCUGAUUAUUCAGAAAAUGAAACAGAAAGUGACAAUGAGUAAAAAUAGUACAUUUAUCAAGAUUAAAAUCGUAGGUAAAACUAUUUUAGCCUAUGUAGAUACAGGUGCUACAAUUUGUUUAGCACAAGAAAGGUUAUUACCAAGUAAGUACUGGAAAAAAUUAAAAUAUCCAAUAAACGUCAUUAAUGAAUCAGUAUCCUUCUCUACCACAUUCCCUAAUUAUUGGAGGUCAUUUUUAUUUAUUUAUUAAAUUUACGAAUUGGGUAUUUCGAUUUUAAUCAAUUUUCUAUUAUUAGCUUCAAUUUAUAGUUAGCUUAUCAUUUUUAUUUGUGCGUGUCAUCCUUGCGCAGGGGCCAUGCUAAUCUUCUCUGUAUCGUUCCAAUUUUAUCGGAUGUCCCCGAAGGGACGAACUCCACUGUUGAGCUUUCGCUAUAUAAAUGUUAAGGAGUUUCAUAUUCUGGUCGGUGUGGGACGAAAGGGACGAACUCCAUUGCUGAGCUUUCGCGAUAUAAAUAGUAAGGAGUUUCACAUUUUGGUCGGUGUGGGACGAGCUGGUUAGGGUCUUUCGUUGGAAAAGAACCGGAUAGAGAUAGUCCAUUCCUUUUCUCGUUCACUUGAGUGAUAUUUACAUUGCUACACUUAGAAAUUUAUUUAUCUAUGUUCUCUAUAUUUUACAGUUUUUAAUAAUUAUUUAAAUUUUUCUGACAACUUAUAUACAUUGUUUUUAAAGAGAUUUUAUUUCAUUAUUAUUGCCUUCAAUUAAGGAAUUCAACUACAUCCUUUUCUUUUUUUUACCUUCUCAUCUUCUCUCGUGCAAUGUAGUAUUUUGCUUCGGUG